AUGAGCCGCUGCGCAAUGAGGGAAAACCAAGCAAAACGAAGCAGAUUUUGGUGUAGCAGUGAAAAACAGCUGAGAAAAAAAGCAAAGAGAACAAAUGUGGAUGGACUAAGAGAGGGAAAUGAGAAUGCUAAUCAAAGUUCAUUGACUGAUGAUUCAUUGUCCGAUGUGGAGAAAAUUUCAAGAGGUGAUUAUCAGAGUGUCUUUGGGUUGUGGAAUGAUCUGGACCAACAGUUUUGGGGCGAUGAUGAAAAAGAUUCAGAUUCUUCCGAUUUCCAGGUGCACAGAAUUGAAAAUGAACGGAGCGAUUUUGGCACAUGCCGUCAUUGUCAUGCACCCAUAAUGCGAGAGACAAAUUAUUGCAACACUUGCUACCAGAAUAGAUGGCGAUGGAUACCACAAAGACCAACCCGUGCUUUGCGAAAAAAAGAAGUUCCACAAGAUCAACGGAAGGAGGCUGGGUCAUCAUAUCAAAAUUCAGAAAAUAAUUUCUUAUCCCAGGGGCCAAAGAUUAUCCUGACACAAACAUAUGUUCCUGAGGAUAAGAGAAAAGACUUGCAGUGACUUGACUGCUCCAAUUAAAACAAAAUUCAAUUUUAACUCCCAUGAAUAAACCUUACCUCUUUUCCCUUGGCUGUGAAUUGGGUUACCUAUUGCAAAGAUGCCACAACUUAGGGACUUGGAGGACAAGGCGCAUCAGUGCAGUUAUUGUUAUUUCAAGAAAUACGUGUUUCAAGUUUCAUAAUUACAUGGAGCCUUAUGGCAGAAAGGAAGUUUAAACUCACUUCUUGAUGCUUUAAAGUUGGAUUUUAGUUGCAAGGUUUUCACAGAAUAUACUCUCAAACUAGUUUUGGUUGAGGUCAUGAAUAUAUCAAUUUUUUAAAAAAACUGCACUUUGCGCCUGUCCUUCAGGCCCCUCAACUAGGAUUGAAAGUUUUUCCGAAAGACAUCUCAUUAAAGAACCCUGCACCAUCCUCUGGUAAAUCCCCCCCAGUAAAACCUGAUGAAACUUUGAUAAGUUGCUCAGCUAGUCAUUCUGAUCAAAAGCUCUCACAGGCCCAAAAGAGAUCCCAUGUGCCGUUUUUGAGAUAUUCGCCAUUUUAUAUGCGUGAACGGAGGUCACCCCAGCCGGACCAUUGUGCGGCACUACUCGUACCCUUCCUUUCCAGUCCACUCAGGCCCCUCUCCGCUUUUCCGCCACCUAUACCUGAGGCUCGGACUCCGACGCUCACGAGGCUUCGCACAUCAGCACUGGCCGGCUGGUCUUAUCACCACUCAGAGAAGACCAUCCAGGCCAGUGCCGAUGAGCGAAGCCUCGUAAGCGUCAGAGUCCGAGCCUCAGGUAUGGAUGGCGGAGAAGCGGAGAGGGGUCGGAGUGAACUGGAAGGGAAGGGUACGAGUAGUGCCGCACAAUGGUCCAGCUGGUAGGACCUCCGUUCACGCAUAUAAAACAGCGAAUAUCUCCAGAACCGCACAUGGGAUCUUUGGGCCCGAGAGUUUUUGAUCAGAGUGACUAACCGAGCAACAUAUCAAAGUUUUAUCAGGUUUUACUAGGGGUGAUUUCCCAUAAGGAUGGUGCGGGGAUCUUCAUGGUCUCUCAGGACAAGAUAGACUCUUUGAUUUCUUCUAAAAAUUGUUCUUUUGUAAAAAUUGACUUAAUGCUCAUAGGUAAGUACAUCGCCUCAUCAGUUGCUCGCAACAAACAGGGGCUGACAACUUUUCCUGGCACUAGUUGCCGUAACUUGUUCCUUCAUUGCUGACAGGCAAUAUCACCUACCCUCAACAGAAAAAGAGGACCUCCUGAGAGUCCCAAAACCAAAUAAGAGACAUGAAAGCCUUCGGAUCUUUUCUGUUGUAGUGGUCUCCAGAGUCGGUUUUUGAUGGGAGAGCAUUGGGUGACGGUACACACAAAUUACUCUCAUAUCAGAUUAUGAUAACAUAACAAUCACUUGAUGGCAAUCAAUCGAAAUAUGAAAGUGACAAAUCAAAAUGAAAGGACCUCAGCAGAAUGAACAAUGAAUACAUGUUUUGCCUCUAUCAAACCAAUGAUCUCAUGAGAAUUGAGUGUGUUUAAGAAGUGAUGGCAUUACCUGUUUAAUGGAUUUCAUUAUGAGCUGUUACGUGAAGAUUUCUUCACAAUAGUCUGCCAAUAAUUUUUUUUACCUUAAUUACAUUACUUUGAAUUUUGUACUCUAUGGAAUUGAACUUCGAAAGACCCUGGGGAAACGCGUGCGUGGGCGUGGGCACUGCCGACCUAACCUCGAAGUUCUGUAAGUAAUCUGUUCGUUGGUUGUUGUGAAGUGUUUACCCGAAAUUUUCUAUUCACGUGCUAGUGCAAGAUCAGCGGAAAAGAAAUCGAGGGAAAGCUAUGCUGACGACAAAACAUUGAAAAUUGAAAUUAUCCAGGUAAAGUAAAGCACACCUGUAAUUUUCCUCCCAACUUCAUCAGUUUCCUUCAUUUUGCCUUUCGUUUUGUUUAUUGUGGGGCAAGGUUUCGUUUGUCCCACAGAGAUAGCUUGAAAAAGGCCAUUGCAUCUCAUCUUUCAAUCCUUUCAAUAAGUUUUACCACUUGUCCUUGAAGAAAAGUCUCACCUCAUGUACUUAUUCUAUUUCUUGAGUUUGAUACAACUGAUUACACUGAAAUAAUUUCAUUUUAAUCACAUCAAACAGGCCUGUGCGCUAGAGUACCUGAAUAGGGAGAGUACGGUCAUAUCGGUUCAUGGAGGGGCUUAGGGCCCAAAAGUGCAGCCACCCUUCUAACCAACUUCUAACGCACAAAAUUUCACUGCCAGUCUGCAGAUUCCAAUUCUGACCAAGAUGGCUAAGAAUGUACAGAAAUGAGCGUUAUUCCGCAAAAUUGAUCAAAUUUAUGCAAAAGCUGAGUCAAACACGUGCUUAACAAACGACGGUUCGUAACAAUAGUAUUAUUAAAUCGCUCUGGAUAAUUGAAAUUCAUAGGUUGGCUGCCCUUUUGGGCCCUAACUUUAUUCGCGGAGACAUCGGUGAAGGCCUGAUGGACUUUCGGAGUUUCACAUAUGACCGUACUCUCCCUAUACAGGUACUCUACUGUGCGCUUAAAUUUGCGCCAAAGUGGCACAAUUUGAAUGUCGUUCUUGGUCAAGUUGUGGUGAGGUCUAUCUAGACUCCAAGUCAAGUUCACACUCUUUUAAAGUGUGACAGAUGAUCCACCAUCUUGGUUCUUGUAUUCACUUUUAAAGCCAAACUGAAAAUAGCUGAUCUUCUGUCGCACUCCAAAAGAGCCUAAGUAUACUUGUUCUGUGUGGACUCAUCCGUCCGAAUGCACCACCCGCUGUCAGAAUAUCAGGAAACAACAGGCAUAAUCACUCUAUGUCUAUCUUUCAUCUCUGCUUCAUCAAGUCAAGUGUCUCGGGACUAAUUUCUCUGUUUCGCGCAGAUUCUUAUCUUCCUCUUGAAAUUUGACAAGACAGAGGGGAGGCGUAUCUAAAUGUGUUUUGAUUCCAUGCCAGACAAGUUUACGGACUGUUUGAGUGUGUCAGAAGAUCCGCCACCUUCAGCUUAGAAUUGAAAAUAAGUGCAAGAAUGAAGGUAGCGGGUCUUAAGUCACACUCUUAAAGUGUGUUAUUAUGAUCCAAGAAGCCAGGGAACUCAGUACGUAAGGGUAAAGGAGCAGAGCAAAUGCUAUUUUGGAAACUGAGUCGUAUUCAUGAAUGACCAUAAAAAAUGGUGCCUGGCUAUGGCUUGUGCUUCACAGACAGGCUGCCAGGUGUACCAACAGGCAUUGAUGCAUGAACACUGCCCGGAUUUUAUAUUUGGCAAGAACUCUAAGCUUGUGUGCAUUGAGGUGGCUUCAUCCUCUUGACUACCCUUCGGAGCCUAGUUCUGACCAUCUUUCAAGUUUUCUUUGGUGGAAAAUACUGUCUUAUCGUAAGUAUCUGAUCUGUAUGGGCAAUUCUAUGAAAAUUGCCAAAUUUCAGUCUCGAGCGUUUCAUUUUUAUAAAGUGUGAAUAAAGUCCGCAUUUCAUCUGAUCACAAAUGAUUAUAAAAAUAUCAAGGUAAAAGAACCUGUCAUGUUUUAGUUACAACAUUGAUAAGUAAAUGGCAGAUUACAUAAUGCAAUUUACAUCUUCAAGUAUGUAACAUCGGUGGUUUCAUUCAAUUCAUUUAAUCUUCUUUUAACAAAAUGUCAUUUUGUGAUUGAAAAACCUGCAGCUCUGUGAGUAGCCCUGAAGGUUGAUGCCCUUUGCAAGCUUUUUGUAGUCCAUGACGUUAUUUAUAACAUGAUCAUCAAAUG
rnacentral:lncRNA from 1 species